CAGCGGUUUAGUUCAGGACCAGCCAGUUGUUGUUUCUAUGUACAGAGCCGCGUUAUCACCGAAACAAUUAUAAUCAAGAAACUUUCUGGUCUGGAUUUCCUCCUCCCCUAAUGGUCGGGGACUUUCAGCGGACCCGUGAAGACAGGCUUUACAGCGUCUUGGCAGGCUGGGAGAGAAGCCCGGUGGAUCUGCCAGCGUCUCUCUUUCCUCCUGUUCCUUCUCAGCUGUUGUUCUGGGCCAGGAUUCUGUAAAGCUGGGAUGAUGGCAGAACAGGCCAGAAUAUUUCUCCCACGCUGAGAGGAAGGGGAGAAGCAGUAGAAAGAAGAGGAACA